CCGGGCUGCGGGUGCUGUCUCAGUCCGCGGCUUAGCAAACCUGGGGCACCGGCCGUGUUCUUAAGCGAUUCCCCAGAACCUUCCACGGGCAAAAAUCGGGAAAGUUUGCACUCACUGGUGUCCACAAAUUCUGAAGCCCUCAAACAUGGAAAUAGCCCAGAUGUCCAGCAGUGGAUGAAUAGACAGACCAGAGUCACUGUAUCCAUAUGGGAAACAUUUGUCAGCUUGAGAAUGAAGCGACAUUCCCAGGUGCCCUGUACUGUGGACACACCUUGAGGAUAUUAUAAGACAGACUGAAAAGAGAGCUCUUGAACAUUGCAGGAGCGUCACAACAUGGCAUAAUCUUGAGAUCAGCCACACAAAGUGAAACUCCUCGGCCCUUUCCUGCAACUUCUUUGGUAGGUAAGGAUGGAGGAUGCUGGCCUUGGAGUUCUUUGGAGGUAAGAGAUGAGCUCAAGGUGACAAAGUUAGUAGGCCACAGCUAGACACAACCCCAGCACCGUGAAGUUUCAUCAGAAAAGCUUCCUGCUCCUCUUCAAGAAGAUGGUCGUUCAGAUGCUCUGGGCUUCACCAACAGCCUUCCUCAGGACCCAUGUCUGCACUGUCUCGCCACAUAGGGAAGUACUGGACUUUCAAAUGGCCUCAUGAACUUUUUAUAACGAAACAGAACAUACACAAAAGUAGAAAGAAAUGUGCAGUGUUGCCUCCCUCCCUGGGUAUUAUAAGUCCAACAUACAUCAAUGUAUGGCCUCUCUUGUCUGUGCUCCACCAUUUCUUCACACUGUUAAUGCAAGUCCCAGAGGUCACGUCAGUUCGGCUUUAAGCAUAGUUAUGUGUGCAUGACAAUCCAGCCAUCACCAAACAGCACCUGGUCUUAUAAGAUCAAAAUGGAGCUGAGAGAACCCUGAUACCUAUAAUGUCAUAGCCACCCUAAAAGUCUUAGCACAUUAUAUCACUCUUGUAUUUGUGGUGACACUGAUGUAAAUAUACCUACCGGUCAAGUGCAGGAAGGCCCUGGGUUUGGUCACCUGCAACUGGAGGGAGAAAGGGAGGAAGGGAGGGAGGGAUAGAUAGAUACUAUCUUGGAGAGAGGAGACUGUAAAGGAAGAUUUCAAGUUCACAACCCGUCUGGGCUUCUUUGAGAAUAAUGUCAAAA
rnacentral:lncRNA from 1 species